UACGUAGGGGUGCGAGCGUUGUCCGGAAUUAUUGGGCGUAAAGAGCUCGUAGGCGGCUUGUCGCGUCGGAUGUGAAAGCCCGGGCUUAACUCCGGGUCUGCAUUCGAUACGGGCAGGCUAGAGUUCGGUAGGGGAGAUCGGAAUUCCUGGUGUAGCGGUGAAAUGCGCAGAUAGUCAGGAGGAACACCGGUGGCGAAGGCGGAUCUCUGGGCCGAUACUGACGUGAGGAGCGAAAGCGUGGGGAGCGAACAGG
rnacentral:rRNA from 1 species